CAGUUCACACGAGCUUCACUCCGUGCCACUGAUAAAAAUAAUCCUCCGCGGAGUUAAUUUUCCUCUAUAAAAUAGGACUCUCAUAUCUGCAUUUCAUCCAUUCUAAACUUGGAACGGUAAAAAUGUUGAGGAACAAGACCUUGGCGAUCACUCUGACAUGGCUGCUGCUACUUGCAUUCUUCGCCACUUGUUCGUUUGCAGCUACCACGAAACCUGCUGAACGUGUCGUCCACCCACAAGGUAAGAUCUCCAGAAAACAGUUUCUUCUGCAUUAUGUUGUUUGAUGAAAUAUUUCUUUCUGAAGGGUGUCGCUGCUGUUUGUUUAACUUCUCCAAGCCUCUCAUCACCUGCGCAAAAGUCUGCUGUGGCGAGAAUUGCUGCUAAGAUCACAACAACUACAAAGAAUGUGCUGUUACCAUAUGUAUCUUGAAACUUUUAUAUUUGUCUGUUUUUGUAUUUGUCAACCUGUAAGUUCAUUUUCAUGUGACCAAGCAACAUAGAUGCAGUGUAUAACUUGAUGCUGCAAGUGCAAAGUUUCAUAUCGUAUGCAACACAAGAUGUCACUUACAAGAAUAUAGUAUCAAAUCAAAUA
rnacentral:lncRNA from 1 species